UACGUAGGGGGCAAGCGUUGUCCGGAAUCAUUGGGCGUAAAGAGCGUGUAGGUGGCCAUGUAGGUCCGCUGUGAAAACUUGAGGCUCAACCUCAAGCUGUCGGUGGAAACCACAUGGCUAGAGUCCGGAAGAGGAGAGUGGAAUUCCUGGUGUAGCGGUGAAAUGCGCAGAUAUCAGGAAGAACACCAAUGGCGAAGGCAGCUCUCUGGGACGGUACUGACACUGAGACGCGAAAAGCGUGGGGGAGCGAACAGG
rnacentral:rRNA from 1 species